rnacentral:rRNA from 1 species
UGGGGAAUUUUGCGCAAUGGGGGAAACCCUGACGCAGCAACGCCGCGUGAGUGAUGAAGGCCUUCGGGUCGUAAAGCUCUGUCAGAGGGGAAGAAAUGCAGGGGUGCUAAUAUCAUCUUUGCUUGACGGUACCCUCAAAGGAAGCACCGGCUAACUCCGUUCCAGCAGCCGCGGUAAUACGGAGGGUGCGCGCGUUGUUCGGAAUUAUUGGGCGUAAAGCGCGUGUAGGCGGUUUGGUAAGUCUGAUGUGAAAGCCCCGGGCUCAACCUAGGAAGUGCAUUGGAAACUGUCAGACUUGAAUACGGGAGAGGGUAGUGGAAUUCCUAGUGUAGGAGUGAAAUCCGUAGAUAUUAGGAGGAACACCGGUGGCGAAGGCGGCUACCUGGACCGAUAUUGACGCUGAGACGCGAAAGCGUGGGGAGCAAACAG